AUAUUUAUAUGUACCAGGGCGUGGUUUACAUAUUGCACUCCAAAUGUGCAAGCCCUGUGGUUUCCCCAAAUGCGGGAAACUCAACUGCAUAAUUUGUGGUAGUGGGGGACUGUGUUCAUGCUUUCCCUUG
rnacentral:snRNA from 1 species